ensembl:lncRNA
GAACAACUCUGAACCCUCAGUUGUAUCCAUGAGGAUAUCAAAGCCUAGAACUUUUACAACAGCCCAAGGUGUAUAGAUGUUUCAAAGAGCCAAAAAUGAUACAGCAAACUUCUUUCUUUUCCUAUAGUCUCUAUUUCAGAUAAUAAUAGAAGCAUUCUUUAAGUACCCUUAACUCUUUCUGUUGUUGUUAUUGUUCAGUUGCUAAGUCAUAUCCGACUCUUUUUGACCUCCUGGACUAAAGCACUCCAAGCUCCUCUAUGCUCCACUGUCUCCUGGAGUUUGCUCAAAUUCAUGUCCAUUGAGUUGGUGAUGCUAUCCAACCAUCUCAUCCUCUACAUCCAUCCAUCCAUCCAUCCAUUUAUCCAUCUGCUGCUAAGUCACUUCAGUCGUGUUUGACUCUGCGACCCCAUAGACGGCAGCCCACUAUCCACCUAUUCAUCUUUCAAAUGCUUAUUUGUCAUUGACUAUGGAAGAUCCCCUGGAGGAGGAAAUGGCAACGCACUCCAGUAUUCUUACUUGAAAAACCCCAUGGACAGAGGAGCCUGCCGGGCUACAGUCCAUAGUGUCACAAAGAGUCAAACACGACUGGGCAGCCGAGCACGUCUGUAAAGAUACUGCACUUCCCAGGUGGCACAGUGGUAAAAAAUCUGCCUGUCAAUGAGGGAGACGCAAGAGACAUGAGUUCAAUCCCUGGGUCGGGAAGAUCCCCUGGAGUAGGAAAUGGCAACCCACUCCAAUAUUCUUGCCUGGGAAACCCCAUAGACAGAGGAGCCUGGCAAGCUACAUACAGUCCAUAAGGUAGCAAAGAGUAGGACACGACUAAGCGACUAAGCAUACUCACACAUUAGGCCCUUUGGAUAUAAAGAUUGAAUAGAAUACCGUCUCUGGUCUCUAGACCUUGGACAGAAGGGAAAAGAGUAGUCUCAGAGUUCCAGCAAAUCCUCGGGCAGCUCAUGAUGGACCUCUCUGCCAGUGUGACACCUCACAGCAACGCGAGACCUUUCUCUUUGCACAGCAUGCUUUAAUCCAUGGCUGCCUGUUUUCAUAUUUGCUCAGUAAAUAGCCAUUGCCUUGUUCAGGACUCCUCUUCACAUGUAAGAAGCAUCUCCAAAAGCCAAUUGGAUCCUGUUAUUUUUUUCACCUCUCCUAGGC